UUCUCUGAAUUUUGGAAGGAAGCAGCAGUAGAUAGAAAUGUGUCCAUGUAGGAUUUAGUAGAACGAGAGAUUUUAUGAAGCUAAAGCUAUAAUCACUAUAUACUUUAACAACAUAAAAAAGAGAUAGAUAAAACAAAUACCAAAGAAAAUUAUAUACAAUCCUACUGGAAAAUAAUAAUAAAUAUCCUAAUUAGCGAAAGCACUAUAGAAUUUUCUUUAACAGAACAACGUAUUCUCUUUUGACAGCAAGCCUCAUUUAAAAUAAUUGAGGAAAGAGGUGGGAAGUCAAUCAUCGUGCAUGUGGUUCUAUUUCAGACUCGUCAGGUUCUUUCCAAUUUUCAGUGUCUUCGACGUCUCUUUGAAGAGAGACAUGAAGCAAGGAUAUAAUGGGCUUGAGUAUCUCUGCACAAUUGUUGCCGGAUGCUCUAGGACUGCAUACACUCUUGACGGAGGACUAAGCUGGAAAGUGAUGGCUUGGAUAUUCUCAGUAACUGCAGCUAUCUAUGGAACAUAAUGGGACCUAGUCGUGGACUGGGGGCUCCUGCAAUUUAAGUAGAAGAACUGGUUGUUAAGAGACAGACUUCUUAUUCCAUACCGAAGUGUGUAUUUUGGAGCAAUGGUCCUGAAUGUAUUGCUGAGAUUUUCCUGGUUGCAAACUGUCCUGAACUUCCAGGUUGGAGAAUGAACAUUUACACAAUGUUGUCAAUUAUCGCGCAUUCAAGUCUGUACCUCUACAUUUCGACUACAAUGUUGGCUAAGACAAACACGAGUUCCAUAUUGCAUCAGAAAAAAAUCAAUAGACAAGAAGUUAGUUAUCCAACAACAAACAGCAAAGAAAGAAAACACUACAGGGAUGUUCUCAGAAGUACGAUUUCGGAGGAGCUUGAUUGUUUUCUCACUCAUUUUUUAUUGAUUUAUUGUAUUUAGUUAGGGAGGUCAGUACCCUGUAUGUGUAAAACUCCUUGCUAUGGAUAUAUAGGUAUUGAAG